rnacentral:rRNA from 1 species
GCACUGGAAGGUCCCUAAACCGAAAGGGGCUCUGCCCGCCCGAGGAUGGGCCGGCGGCCGAUUAGGUAGUUGGUGGGGUAACGGCCCACCAAGCCCAUAAUCGGUACGGGCAGUGAGAGCUGGAGCCCGGAGAUGGACACUGAGACACGGGUCCAGGCCCUACGGGGCGCAGCAGGCGCGAAACCUCCGCAAUACUCGAAAGAGCGACGGGGGGACCCCAAGUGCCGUGGUACAACCACGGCUUUUCCGGAGUGUAAGAAGCUCCGGGAAUAAGGGCUGGGCAAGGCCGGUGGCAGCCGCCGCGGUAAUACCGGCGGCCCGAGUGGUGGCCACUAUUAUUGGGCCUAAAGCGUCCGUAGCCGGGCUUGUAAGUCCCUGGCGAAAUCCCACGGCUCAACCGUGGGGCUUGCUGGGGAUACUGCAAGCCUUGGGACCGGGAGAGGCCGGGGGUACUCCUGGGGUAGGGGUGAAAUCCUAUAAUCCCAGGAGGACCGCCAGUGGCGAAGGCGCCCGGCUGGAACGGGUCCGACGGUGAGGGACGAAGGCCAGGGGAGCAAACCGGAUUAGAUACCCGGGUAGUCCUGGCUGUAAAGGAUGCGGGCUAGGUGUUGCUUGGACCUCGAGUCCAAGCAGUGCCGCAGGGAAGCCG